GGUGGGGUUCCCGAGCGGCCAAAGGGAGCAGACUGUAAAUCUGCCGUCAUCGACUUCGUAGGUUCGAAUCCUUCCCCCACCACCA
rnacentral:tRNA from 1 species